rnacentral:rRNA from 1 species
UACAGAGGGUGCAAGCGUUAAUCGGAAUUACUGGGCGUAAAGCGUGCGUAGUCGGCUUUUCAAGUCGGGUGUGAAAGCCCCGGGCUCAACCUGGGAAUUGCAUUCGAUACUGGAUGGCUAGAGUUCGGCAGAGGGAAGCGGAAUUUCCGGUGUAGCGGUGAAAUGCGUAGAUAUCGGAAGGAACAUCAGUGGCGAAAGCGACUUCCUGGACCAGAACUGACGAUCAGGCACGAAAGCGUGGGGAGCAAACAGGAUUAGAAACCCCCGUAGUCC